rnacentral:rRNA from 1 species
GAUGAACGCUAGCUACAGGCUUAACACAUGCAAGUCGAGGGGAAACGAUAUAGAAAGCUUGCUUUUUCUAGGCGUCGACCGGCGCACGGGUGAGUAACGCGUAUCCAACCUGCCCAUCACUUGGGGAUAACCUUGCGAAAGUAAGACUAAUACCCAAUGAUAUCUCUAGAAGACAUCUGAAAGGGAUUAAAGAUUUAUCGGUGAUGGAUGGGGAUGCGUCUGAUUAGCUUGUUGGCGGGGUAACGGCCCACCAAGGCGACGAUCAGUAGGGGUUCUGAGGGGAAGGUCCCCCACAUUGGAACUGAGACCCGGUCCAAACUCCUACGGGAGUCAGCAGUGAGGAAUAUUGGUCAAUGGGCGAGAGCCUGAACCAGCCAAGUAGCGUGCAGGAUGACGUCCCUAUGGGUUGUAAACUGCUUUUAUAAGGGAAUAAAGUGAGUCUCGUGAGACUUUUUGCAUGUACCUUAUGAAUAAGGACCGGCUAAUUCUGUGCCAGCCGCCGCCGUAA